CAUCAUCAUCAUCAGACAGCCAACCAUCCCCCGAAAGAAUAUUCCCCCCUAAUAAUAAUAAUAAUAAGAAGCAGCAGCAGCAACUGACAGAACAGGGAUACUGAGGCAUAUCGUCAUGUCCAUCCACAACAUUCAGCUGGGAUCAGCUAAUUUAAAAUGGAAUAGGAAUUGAACUGGGAUCUUUCUGCAUUUUAGUCAUCUACCAGAGGGUGUCAGAAUUGAACCAGUCAUAUCCAUUGGCUUCCAGCACUGUGAUAUCUUCCUCCCCCAACCUUUGUCAUCCGAAGGUGCUGAUUCAUCCCGGGAUAUUGUUUCAUGAGCACAAUAGGUCUUUCAAUAUUUCACACAAGUGUCCAUUCUCCACCUUGAGCCAAGAUGAAAUUUCAGCUGGUUUUAUACUUGAUCAUGAUUGCAUCUAACGCACAUGCAUACUUUCCAGCAGGAGUCACUGCACAGCAAUCAGGAGUAGGAGCCCCAACUUUAUAUCACCCCCUCCCAGUCUCGGGAUGGGGUACUGCUGUUUAUUGACUACGAUCAGCAAACUCACAACUAAUUACACUUUAGUAUUUUUAUCUACUGAGUGACUAGGAGUUGCAGAAGAGGACAGUGAUCCAUUACGUCUAUUAUUUAUGAAUCUUCAAUUGAGAAACAAAUAAAACAACCAAUAUAAGUAUGCUUAUCUGUAAUAGUUGUACUUAAAGGUUAAUGUGGACAAAAUGUUAGUCUUACAAAUAAAUUGCAAAUACUGUUAUGUCUAUAAGUCUUAAGUAUCGACAGGAGAUCCUUAAACUGUAAGGUGAAUCACAUUAUUCAAAUUAAUUAGGAUAAUGGGAUAUUACUUACCACCUAUCAAAUGUCUUAGCUAGUGUUGAGAAACCUGUUAUGCAUUUGUAGUGUAUAUAAAUUGGGGAUAAUGUGUGAAGGGCCAUAAGAUUUUUUUUCUUUCCUAUAGUGAACUUAUUGGAUUACUCAAAACUGCUCCAGGCUUUUUAUGGCAUUCUUACCAGUGAGAAUAAAUAUAACCCAAACUGUGAUCUAUUUUUCGAGCAAUGCUGCCUUUCUAUCAAUGUCAGUCUUUCACCUAUGCUGAUGUAAGAUUGUGCCCAGCAAAGUCUGUGGCAUUGUACCUCUGAUCAAACUUCUUAUUGACUGUUUCUAUACUUCAUC